CAAGAGAAAUUGAAAAUGGAUUUACUACAGAAAGGCGUGAAAUUCGUUAUAAAUUUGAUGCGACAGUUCAAAGUUUUGUACUUUCCAGACCUGCACAACGAAUUACCUAUUUGAAAAAUAGAAUGUGGUUAAAAAUUGCUGAUGUGAUAGAGGAUUCAAGUACCAUUUACAAACAAAAUAUUGAAGAGAAUGUGCUCAAAGGAAAUGCAUAUGAAUUCUUUUCUGUUGACCAGGAUGGAAAAAUUCUUUGGAACCCAUAGAUAGGAUAAGUUAGUUAGGCCUAGUUGUGUACCAGCCAGAAGUAGAGGAUGACAAAGAAAAUCAACUAUGAAUAAUAUUCCAUGGAUAUAAUUCAUGUAUAAUGUAGUAGCCUACAGAAGAAAGAGAUGGACUAAUCUAAGAAAUAUAUUAAUU